rnacentral:lncRNA from 1 species
GACUUACACCGGCUUCCGAGCACACAACAAGCACAAACAAACAACAACUUGCUAAGGAGUCAGGAACUCGAGCCUAGCAAUUGUCAAACAACACACACAAAAAGAAAAAAAAAGUGCCCGGAGAGGUCUCGCACGACCUCCUGCCUACAUACCUCGUCUGGAACGAGGAUCAGGGCGAUGUAGUUCCCCUGAAAGGGAAAGAAA